GACGAACGCUGGCGGCGUGCCUGACACAUGCAAGUCGGACGGUUCUUGCACCUUCAAGCUUGCUUGCUGGUGCAAGGAUAGUGGCGGACGGGUGAGUAACGCGUGAACAUCUACCCAUUGGAGGGGGACAACCCGUCGAAAGGCGGGCUAAUACCGCGUAAGCCGCGAGGUGAGAGGCUGCCUAUUGGUGGCCGCCGAUGGAUGGGUUCGCGUCCUAUCAGCUGGUUGGUGGGGUAACGGCCUACCAAGGCGAAGACGGGUAGCCGGUCUGAGAGGAUGGCCGGCCACACUGGAACUGAGACACGGUCCAGACUCCUACGGGAGGCAGCAGUGGGGAAUAUUGGGCAAUGGGGGAGACCCUGACCCAGCGACGCCGCGUGAGGGAUGAAGGUUUUCGGAUCGUAAACCUCUGUUGUACGGGAAGAAGGAUGUGACGGUACCGUACGAGAAAGCCCCGGCAAACUACGUG
rnacentral:rRNA from 1 species